UUUUGAGACAGAGUCUUACCCAGGCUAGAGUGCAGUGGCAUGAUGAGGGUUCACUGCAGCUUUGACCUCCUAGGGUCAAGCGAGCCUGCCACCUCAGCCUCCCACGUAGCAGGGACCACAAGUGUGCACCACCACCACACCUGGCUACUUUGUUUAUUAAAUUAUAUGUAGGGACAGAGUCUUCCUACCUUGCCCGGGCUGGUCUCAAGCUCCUAGGCUGAAGUGAUCCUCCUGCCUCAGCCUCUCAAAGUGCUGGGAUUACAGGCAUGAGCCACCAUGCCUUGCCCAUUUUUCUAAGUUGGAUUAUUUUACACUCCAGUCUGCUAUGAAUGAGAGUUCCAGUUGUUCCAUAUCCCAAGCAAUUGGCGAUUGCCUACAAAUGAUGUGGCAUGAUGAAAUUGUUCCUGGUGUCCAUGGUGUCUGAGAGGAUUGCAAAGAAUUUCCCUCCCUUUCUCUCCUUUCUGCUCCCCCUGUAUUGUCUACUCCUUAAAUUGGUCAAAUUCUACUUGAUCCAGGAACAUAAUGGGGAUGGAGAGUGCAGAUAGCACACAUGGCCUCAGUCUAUGGGAGCAUCUCAAAGGAAUUAGUCUGCAAAUUCUAGUGCAUCUAGGCAGAGCACAGGAAGGAAGAGAGGUGCAGACUCAUGUAUGGCCCUGGGGCACCUGCCAUCCCCUUGAGCCUGUACAGCCCUUACCCGCCCAGCCCCAGCUUGAGUUCUGGGCCUUCUCGCCAGCACAUCACUGGGACCUGGUCAACUUCAGUCAUUCCCUCUACAAAGGACUUCCUGGCAGGUGUGAAAGGCAGCGGUGGCCACAGAGGCGGUGGAGAGAUGGCCUUCAGCGGUUCCCAGGCUCCCUACCUGAGCCCAAGGAAGAGUGGAGAAAGGAGGCCUGUUUCCUGCUGGCUGACACCAAUGACCCCUCAGCCACCCUGUGGAGGCCCCUGAGGAAAUUCAAACGUGCAGAGAGAAUUGUACCAUCAACAACACACACCCAUCACUCUGCUCCAACAACGAUCAACUCAGGCCUAUGUUGCUUCAUCCUAUACGCCCCCCUUGCUUGCUUCCCUUCCCACCUUCAGGUAUGUGGAAGCAAAUCCAGAGAUACCAUUCCACUGCAAAUAUUUCACUGUGUAUCUCUAUAAUAUGGGAAUUUGGGGGGCUUUGAGACAGGAUCUUGUUUUGUUGCCCAGGCUGGAGUGCAGUGGUGUGAUCAUGGCUCACUGCAGCCUCCACCUCCCAGGCUCAAGGGAUGCUCCCACCUCAGCCUUCCAAGUAACUAGGGUUAAAGGUGUGCACCACCACACCUGGCUAAUUUUUUUUAUUUUUUGUAGAGAUGGGGGUCCCAUUAUGUUUCCCAGGCCGGCCUCAAACUCCUGGGCUCAAGUGAUCCUUCUGCCUCAGCCUGCCAAAGUGCUGGGAUUAUAGAUGUGAGCCACUGUGCCCAGCCAGGAACUUUUACAUAAUCCUUUUUGACAAAUUUUUUCCCCCUAGAAAUUAGAAAGUUUUAUAGAAAAAAAAAUCCAGAUUUC
rnacentral:lncRNA from 1 species